rnacentral:rRNA from 1 species
UACGAAGGGGGCUAGCGUUGCUCGGAAUUACUGGGCGUAAAGGGCGCGUAGGCGGCACUGUUAGUCAGGCGUGAAAGUCCUGGGCUCAACCUGGGAACUGCGCUUGAUACGGCAGAGCUAGAGGAUGGAAGAGGCUCGCGGAAUUCCCAGUGUAGAGGUGAAAUUCGUAGAUAUUGGGAAGAACACCGGUGGCGAAGGCGGCUGAGCUGGUCCCAUUCUGGACGCUGAGGC